rnacentral:rRNA from 1 species
AUGCACGCUGGCGGCGUGCCUAAUACAUGCAAGUCGAGCGAACAGACGAGGAGCUUGCUCCUCUGACGUUAGCGGCGGACGGGUGAGUAACACGUGGAUAACCUACCUAUAAGACUGGGAUAACUUCGGGAAACCGGAGCUAAUACCGGAUAAUAUAUUGAACCGCAUGGUUCAAUAGUGAAAGACGGUUUUGCUGUCACUUAUAGAUGGAUCCGCGCCGCAUUAGCUAGUUGGUAAGGUAACGGCUUACCAAGGCGACGAUGCGUAGCCGACCUGAGAGGGUGAUCGGCCACACUGGAACUGAGACACGGUCCAGACUCCUACGGGAGGCAGCAGUAGGGAAUCUUCCGCAAUGGCCGAAAGCCUGACGGAGCAACGCCGCGUGAGUGAUGAAGGUCUUCGGAUCGUAAAACUCUGUUAUUAGGGAAGAACAAAUGUGUAAGUAACUAUGCACGUCCUGACGGUACCUAAUCAGAAAGCCACGGCUAACUACGUG